rnacentral:rRNA from 1 species
GACGAACCGUGCGAACGUUGUUCGGAAUCACUGGGCUUAGAGGGCGCGUAGGCGGGCUGUCAAGUCUGGGGUGAAAUGCCGCGGCUCAACCGUGGAACUGCCUUAGAUACUGACGGCCUCGAGGGAGGUAGGGGCGUGCGGAACUGUAGGUGGAGCGGUGAAAUGCGUUGAUAUCUACAGGAACUCCGGUGGCGAAAGCGGCGCGCUGGACCUCUUCUGACGCUGAGGCGCGAAAGCUAGGGGAGCAAACGGG